rnacentral:rRNA from 1 species
GACGAACGCUGGCGGCGUGCCUAAUACAUGCCAGUAGAACGCUGAAGGAGGAGCUUGCUUCUCUGGAUGAGUUGCGAACGGGUGAGUAGCGCGUAGGUAACCUGCCUGGUAGCGGGGGAUAACUAUUGGAAACGAUAGCUAAUACCGCAUAAGAGUAGAUGUUGCAUGACAUUUGCUUAAAAGGUGCAAUUGCAUCACUACCAGAUGGACCUGCGUUGUAUUAGCUAGUUGGUGGGGUAACGGCUCACCAAGGCGACGAUACAUAGCCGACCUGAGAGGGUGAUCGGCCACACUGGGACUGAGACACGGCCCAGACUCCUACGGGAGGCAGCAGUAGGGAAUCUUCGGCAAUGGACGGAAGUCUGACCGAGCAACGCCGCGUGAGUGAAGAAGGUUUUCGGAUCGUAAAGCUCUGUUGUAAGAGAAGAACGAGGGUGAGAGUGGAAAGUUCACACUGUGACGGUAUCUUACCAGAAAGGGACGGCUAACUACGUG